UACGUAGGGGGGCUAGCGUUGUCCGGAAUCAUUGGGCGUAAAGAGCGUGUAGGCGGUCCGGUAAGUCCGCUGUGAAAGUCGGGGGCUCAACCCUCGAAUGCCGGUGGAUACUGUCGGGCUAGAGUGCGGAAGAGGCGAGUGGAAUUCCUGGUGUAGCGGUGAAAUGCGCAGAUAUCAGGAGGAACACCAAUUGCGAAGGCAGCUCGCUGGGACGUAACUGACGCUGGAGACGCGAAAGCGUGGGGAGCAAACAGG
rnacentral:rRNA from 1 species